UACGUAGGGUGCAAGCGUUGUCCGGAAUCAUUGGGCGUAAAGAGCGCGUAGGCGGCCCAGUAAGUCCGCUCUGAAAGUCAGGGCUCAACCCUGAAUGCGGGUGGAUACUGCUGGGCUAGAGUCCGGAAGAGGCGAGUGGAAUUCCUGUGUAGCGGUGAAAUGCGCAGAUAUCAGGAGGAACACCGAUGGCGAAGCAGCUCGCUGGACGUAGCUGACGCUGAGGCGCGAAGC
rnacentral:rRNA from 1 species